UACGGGGGGAGCAAGCGUUGUUCGGAUUUACUGGGCGUAAAGAGCGUGUAGGCGGCCCGGUAAGUCCGCUGUAAAAGUCAAAGGCUCAACCUUUGAAUGUCAGUGGAUACUGCCGGGCUAGAGUCCGGAAGAGGCGAGUGGAACUCCUGGUGUAGCGGUGGAAUGCGCAGAUAUCAGGAAGAACACCAACGGCGAAGGCAGCUCGCUGGGACGGUACUGACGCUGAGACGCGAAAGCGUGGGGAGCGAACAGG
rnacentral:rRNA from 1 species